rnacentral:rRNA from 1 species
GAGGAGCGAAAGCGUGGGGAGCGAACAGGAUUAGAUACCCUGGUAGUCCACGCCGUAAACGGUGGGCGCUAGUUGUGCGAACCUUCCACGGUUUGUGCGACGCAGCUAACGCAUUAAGCGCCCCGCCUGGGGAGUACGAUCGCAAGAUUAAAACUCAAAGGAAUUGACGGGGCCCCGCACAAGCAGCGGAGCAUGCGGCUUAAUUCGACGCAACGCGAAGAACCUUACCAAGGCUUGACAUAUACAGGAAUACGGCAGAGAUGUCGUAGCCGCAAGGUCUGUAUACAGGUGGUGCAUGGUUGUCGUCAGCUCGUGUCGUGAGAUGUUGGGUUAAGUCCCGCAACGAGCGCAACCCUCGUUCUGUGUUGCCAGCAUUUAGUUGGGGACUCACAGGAGACUGCCGGGGUUAACUCGGAGGAAGGUGGGGAUGACGUCAAAUCAUCAUGCCCCUUAUGUCUUGGGCUGCACGCAUGCUACAAUGGCUGGUACAAACGGCUGCAAUACCGCAAGGUGGAGCGAAUCCGAGAAAGCCAGUCUCAGUUCGGAUUGGGGUCUGCAACUCGACCCCAUGAAGUCGGAGUUGCUAGUAAUCGUAGAUCAGCAACGCUACGGUGAAUACGUUCCCGGGGCUUGUACACACCGCCCGUCACAUCACGAAAGUCGGUAACACCC